rnacentral:rRNA from 1 species
GACGAACGCUGGCGGCGUGCUUAACACAUGCAAGUCGAACGGAAAGGCCCUGCUUUUGUGGGGUGCUCGAGUGGCGAACGGGUGAGUAACACGUGAGUAACCUGCCCUUGACUUUGGGAUAACUUCAGGAAACUGGGGCUAAUACCGGAUAGGAGCUCCUGCUGCAUGGUGGGGGUUGGAAAGUUUCGGCGGUUGGGGAUGGACUCGCGGCUUAUCAGCUUGUUGGUGGGGUAGUGGCUUACCAAGGCUUUGACGGGUAGCCGGCCUGAGAGGGUGAACGGCCACAUUGGGACUGAGAUACGGCCCAGACUCCUACGGGAGGCAGCAGUGGGGAAUAUUGCACAAUGGGCGGAAGCCUGAUGCAGCAACGCCGCGUGCGGGAUGACGGCCUUCGGGUUGUAAACCGAUUUCGCCUGUGACGAAGCGUGAGUGACGGUAAUGGGUAAAGAAGCACCGGCUAACUACGUG